rnacentral:lncRNA from 1 species
GAGCAGAGCUGGUUCUCAAAAUGCUGGUCCAGGUUUUGGCUCUGCUGGCUCUGGGGUUGCUGGGCAGCUCAGCACAACUGCAGGAGGAACGCUCUAGGACUUUGGUGGGAUUGAUCACUCGAGAACUUCUCCAAGAUAUGAAGAAACUAAAUUUAAAUGCAGUUCCCAGCCUUGUAAUGGUGAAUGCUACGGUGGAGAGAUGCAUGCAGAGCCACCUGAAAACCUUUGCUAGCACCUUGGCAGGUCUUGACACUCACAGCAAAGUCAUGGCCAGAAAACUGAUCAGACUUAACACCUACAAAAACAUCCUCCCCAAAGAUCUCGAUAAGAAAUGUAAGACUGCACAAGUAACAUGGUAUGACUUCCUGGACACGCUAGACAGGUUCUUGAGAUUGCUCUCUGAGAAAAUUCAAAAUGCCUAAAUAGAGCAACCAGUCCAAAUCUGGGAAGAAAAGGAGAGCCUGAACUCUGUUGCAAGCAAACUGUGACUCGAUUAACUUAUCCUCAGGAAUGUGGCCAUAGAAUAUUUAUAUAAAGAGAGAUAUGUUGUGUCUAUAUAUAUGUAUAAAAAGUGAUGUUAUAACUGCAGUCAUGUUCUCUGUAAUGAUUGAAACAUGCUGAUUCAAAAGACAGGCACUUAAAUAUUUAAAUAUUUUAGAUAAUUUUAAUAUUUUAACUUAUGUCUUUUUCAUAAUGAAAGAUCAGGUUUAUUUAUUUAUUUAUUUACUAUUUAUUUAUUUAUUUGUUUAUUUAUUUAUGGAGACUUUGAGAUAUUUAUUGUGAUGCUGCUGUAUUUAAGUGUUUCUUUAGGAAAUUGCUGUGUGAUGGUGUGUGAGGAGGAGCUCUGGGGAUCUGCUUUGGCAUUGGCUGUCUCAGUAUUUCUCUCCCAUUGUCACAAGCCCCAGGGCUCUCAGAGCUGGGUGAAAGUCAGUCUGUGGGACAGGGACAAGGCCAUUGGUGCCACCCAGCCCAUUCACUUCCCCUUGGCUCCUAAACUACCUCCAGAAUUGGAGAAGAUUCACUUCAGUUGUGCACUCCCUCCUCUGCUCCCUCCCUGAGAGUUCAGAUCCGUGGGGUAGCUUCAACCACCACGUUUUAUUGUUGGUGAGGCAGAGCCAUAUCAGCCAAAUCCAGCCAAACUGGUUAACAAAAGCAAAGAGAUCUUGUUUGUUUUUCCUCCAAGUUUGCUCAGCUGAUACAGUGUUUCCCACAUCUCAUGUGAGCUGAAUUCUACUGAACUGAAUCAGACAAUUCUUUUUUUCUAAAAUGUUUAAGUAGCUAUAGCUAUGGCAGGUACUCACAAGGUGCAUACCCAUGUAAAGCCAUCAGCUAAGAUUCUGAAAGUUAAUGUUUAAUAAAAGAGUAUUGAAGGGGAAUGUUCCUGCA